CCGGACUGUGAGGAGCCCAAGCCACACAGAGAGGCCACGUGUGGAUGCUCCCAUGAACAGCCCCAGUGCAGCCCAGCAGACAUCAACAUCCAGCCAUGUGACAGCGCCAUCUUGGUGCACCAACUAGAGCACCACCCGGUCCAGUUGAGCCUUCAGAUGACUCCAGUCCCAGUUGCUGAGUGACUGAAACUUCAUGAGAGACUCCAAAUAAGAACUGACAGCUGGACCCAGUCAACCCAUAGAACUGUGAAAGGGCAAGGAGCGACGUGGGGCCUGAACGAGAUGGCAGCAUUGGUACGAGGGGUGUGGUUCUGAGCAGAGAGGACUCCCUUCCGUCCAGGUUACUGGGAGACACAUGGGGAGUUUUGAGACCUGCGAUUUUGGCUGGAGAAGCUGCUUUGGAAAUUGACAUCACCAUCAGCGGGAAGAUUUGUCAAUGACUGGACUUCAGGGAAUCUAAGAACAAGGACGAUUUGUAUUCUUGGAGAAGCACAUACUGAAGAAGAAAAUCCAGUGAAACCAAACGAAUAUGUACAGUAUCAUCUAGCACAUGUCCCCGGGAGCAGCUGGGUCU
rnacentral:lncRNA from 10 species